CUUCCUCCUCUUCCUCCUGUUUUCUCCUGAAACUCCCCACCCCCAGCCCAGGCUGCGGUCUCUGGUCCUUUGUAGUCUCCAGCUGAGGAAGGGGAAGAUGAGGAAGUGACUGGUCACCCCUGAAGCUCUCACACUGAGCACCGAGAGCUCCAGGAAAGCAGGGCCCUUACCCUCCUGUGAUCUGACCCCAAGCCGAUGUGGUUUGCAUCUGGGAAACUCAAUCCCCAGUCAGCCUCUUGGGAGUGGACAUGGGACCUGUUGUGUUGACGCUGCUAAUGUCCUUCCCUAGGGAGGCAAUGGACUGUCUGCCUUUCUAUGACAGAAUCCUAUUCCAGCGUGUGAGCAAACCACAUUUAACCACUCAUCCUAUGACAGCCAUUGUGAGAUUGUGCAUGGUACUUCUAAGAACAUGCGUACACAUGCCUCCCUAGGAACAUGCUUUCAGUCCUCUGGAGCAGGUAUGUCAGAGUGGGAUUUAUGGGUGAAUCGGUAGCUCUGUGCUUAACUUUCUGAGAAUUUCCAGCGUUUCCCAAAGCAGAGGGGCUGUUCAACGUUUCCACUCCCAGAGGGUUCCAAUGUUUUCACCGCAGUUGUUACUGUCUAUCUUUCUGGUGGCCGCUGUCAUAGCAGGCGUGUCAUGGCUGCUCAUUUGCGGUGGGUUUUGUUUUUUGCAGCACUGAAUCCAGGGUCUUGCACAUGCCAGGCAAGCACUCAAACAAUGAACUACUCUAAGUUCAAAGCCAGCCUGGUCUACAUAAUUUUCAGGACAAUCUGACACACAUAGACUUCCAGGCCAGCCUGGGCUUCAAAGUAAGACUGUAUCAGAAAGUCAAU